rnacentral:rRNA from 1 species
CCUACGGGUGACAGCAGUGGGGAAUAUUGCACAAUGGGGGAAACCCUGAUGCAGCGACGCCGCGUGAGUGAAGCAGUAUUUCGGUACGUAAAGCUCUAUCAGCAGGGAAGAAAAUGACGGUACCUGACUAAGAAGCCCCGGCUAACUACGUGCCAGCAGCCGCGGUAAUACGUAGGGGGCAAGCGUUAUCCGGAUUUACUGGGUGUAAAGGGAGCGUAGACGGCAGCGCAAGUCUGGAGUGAAAUCCCAUGGCUUAACCAUGGAACUGCUUUGGAAACUGUGCAGCUAGAGUGCAGGAGAGGUAAGCGGAAUUCCUAGUGUAGCGGUGAAAUGCGUAGAUAUUAGGAGGAACACCAGUGGCGAAGGCGGCUUACUGGACUGUAACUGACGUUGAGGCUCGAAAGCGUGGGGAGCAAACAGGAUUAGAUACCCGAGUAGUC